rnacentral:rRNA from 1 species
GACAGAGGUCCCAAGCGUUAGGCGGAAUCACUGGGCUUAAAGCGUGUGUAGGCGGACUUCUAAGUACCUUGUGAAAUCCCACGGCUCAACCGUGGAACUGCUUGGUAUACUGGUUGUCUUGGGCCAUCUAGGGGCUAGCGGAGCAAACGGUGGAGCGGUGAAAUGCGUAGAUAUCGUUUGGAACGCCAAUGGUGAAAACAGCUAGCUGGGGAUGUGCCGACGCUGAGACACGAAAGCCAGGGGAGCGAACGGG